rnacentral:rRNA from 1 species
CGGUGAGGAACCUGCCUUGGAGAGGGGAAUAACAACUCCGAAAGGAGUGCUAAUACCGCAUGAUGCAGUUGGGUCGCAUGGCUCUGACUGCCAAAGAUUUAUCGCUCUGAGAUGGCCUCGCGUCUGAUUAGCUAGUAGGCGGGGUAACGGCCCACCUAGGCGACGAUCAGUAGCCGGACUGAGAGGUUGACCGGCCACAUUGGGACUGAGACACGGCCCAG